GGCUCCCGACGAGGCGCAGCUGCGCCCGGCCGGCCGCGGCCCCGCGGCACCUGGGAGUCGUUGCCUCCUUAGCGCAGCCGGCCUCGUUAGGGACGGCCCGGGGCUCUGACAGUUUGACGUGCGGACUCCGGAUCUGAAUUAGGGACUUAAAUUACACUUUAAAGUACAGUUUGUUACGCGCUUUUCCUUCUCGCCGCACUGUGGGAUUCAUCGAUAAGUUAAGUAAUUGUGCCAAUUCAAACGGGUCGCUUUGCAUCCGACGCGACCGGCGCGAUAGAGCGUCUCCCCUCCGAAGAACGUCCCCGGCCUUAACGGUUUCCAGGGGCCUCCGCUGGGUGCGUCUCCGCUCUGCUUUCCAUCGCCCCAAUUCCGAACAAAAGAAAAAGGGGGGAAAAAAUUAUUUAUUUGUUUAUUUAUUAAGAAAAAUAAGUCUUUUUAAGAUAAUAAGAAAAAUAAGGAACAAACGUGCAGACCUUCACUGCUCAGGGGGGCUACAAACCAAAGUAAAACUAGGGGCCGGCAAAAACAUGGUACUCCACAGUCUUAAUUUAACAAAACACAGUGGAACCCCCUGAAAUAGCGUGAAAUUCAGAAGCCUGUGGUCGGGCUGAAGCGUCGUGUGCUGGCCGGCAGAUGUUUGGAAAGGUGCUAAGAUGUAACUCUUAUUGUCCAUAGAAUUUGCUGUUAACCACUUGCAAGAUACAAAGUGACGGCCAGCUGGAUGAAAAGGAGAAUGUGUGUGAACACCCGGAACUGACAGACCCGGGACAGUGCAUGUGGCUUGAAGUGGGCACUGAGAGAAAGCUCAGACAAUGUAUAUACAUGCUAUUAACAUUCACAUUAAUUUCCACUGGGACACGACUUAAUUAAGUUCAGGAACGCAUGCAAGUGUACUGUUCUUAUUAGAGGCACGGUCUGGAGAAGAUGGCCGGGGAGCUGAGCAUCAUUUCUACAUCAGCUGCUGAAGCGCCCACUAACUUUGGAUGUCGCCUAAACCUUCAGAUGGAAUCCUUGCAGGCAUUCCCGUGGGGAUCGGGAAAUUGCAGUAUGCCGGAACUACCGUUGCUGAUGUGGGGCGAGCGCUCUGAAGUGCACUUGGAGAAGAACGCAUUCCAACCCCGCAUAUAUGAAAAGUUUAAUAUUUUAGACAGCUAGAUGAAAUGCUGGGGUCUUGGUGCAUUUUGCUUUGGCGGUCCAGGCUUUUCAGCAUCUUAGGGAAAUGUUUGGAAAUGAAUUUUAUUUUCACAACUGUGGUACAAUUACAAGGCGGGGAUGUUUCACCCUUCUCACCGAGGUGCCCUUGGUGGUGGUGGUCUGUAAAUGGCUAUAGAACUGACAGAGAAGUCUGCAAGCAUUUUCUUCGGUUCUGAUUUUUAUUCUUAUUUGUUUUAACAGAGAGAUAAAAACCAGCAUUGUGCAUGUCCUUGCUCUGCGGGUUGGGGAUGUAUCGUUGUUGUUGUCGUUGUUUUCCUGGGAAGUAAAACAGGGUAUGAUAUUGGUAAUAAGGGCAAGUGGAUUUAUUGCUGAGCGAGUUGUACGCUGUUUGACAGAAAAUUCCUGAACUGAUCGGUGUUGGUGGAAGUUGGGGCUGCCUCCCGAUGUUUCCUGAGCCUUCUAUUUAGUUUGGAGUUCUGGGAAGUAUUUGUGGGCUUAAUCCAUUUACGCUUUUGAUAGGUAAAUGCAAGCCAUGAGUUACGGUAAAUUAUUGCUAAGAAAAGAUGAAUGGAAGAAUGGAUGUUUCAUUUUACUAUAUAUGCUGGGAAAGGUUGUUCUUUCUUUCAGCGUAUAACUCUGCUUUUCCUCGUACAACCUAUUUACAGGGUCAGACUUCUUAAUUUAUUUAUUUUUUUGUUUCUGUAUUUACUGUAAUUAAAGCCAAAGCAGACAACACUUCUUCAGUCUUCUGCAUUUACUGAGUGCCUUUAGCAAACACGCUGCAAGGCAUAGCCGUUAGAUGAGCAUUUCCAACCAUGGUGUGUAAAUGAGUUAUAAAAUACAAGCAACUCUAUAAAACAAGAAAAUCCUGAGUUAACAAAUAAAUGGUGUCCUUCCUAUAUCACGUAUAAGCUUUUUUCAUCCUUCUCGUAGGGUGGUAUGGUAUCUCGGAGCUCAAAAGGGAUUUUCGCUGUAGGGUCAGAGAUGGAAGGUGUCACAGUGAAGAACUCCUUCAAAUCGUGUAUAUAUAUAUAAAUAUAUUCCAUUUGAGGGCAUCUACAGCUCAGGAAGGAACACUUGAUGUGUACGUGACUUUUAAAAGAAACAGUGAAAUUGAAGAAAUGGGUUCCCCGCAGGCAGCUCUGCCUGGUGCCCGUUUGUGAGGUGAAAUCACCUAUGGGGCAACUCUGCCCUGAAGGGACGGGCGGCACUGCCCGCGAGAGGGGCGAUGACCUUAGGUGACUCCGGCCGUGACCUUCAGGUGACCCCGGCCUGGCCGGCCUCAGCUCUUUCUGGGCGGGAACGCUCAGGUGAGAAGAAAAAGCGGCGGGAAGCGAUAAAGGCGGGAAGCGACAGCGGCGUUCUGGGCUCCUAUUGGCUGGCGGGCAGCCGGGAAAUCUAUAUAAGGUGCGUGGACAAACAGGUGAGAGACGUGAUUACCUCAGCGCGUCAGAAGAAACGGGAUGCUGUGAGGGAGAGGCGGCAACGGCGACGCCAGCAAGCGGUCUCUAGAGCUGAGGAGCUGCUGCAGAAGAAAGAAGAAGCAGCGGCGUGGGGACCUGGGCGGCAGGAGCGAGCAAGGAGAGGAUGCGGAAGCGUGCAGAUGCGGGGGGGAAGGAGAGAGGCUCCCUGGGCAAAGCACCUGUCCCGUUAGCGGGGCCGCAGUCACAUUUGAGUUGAGCGUUGCCGGCGCCUUUGGCGACCCGGCCGGCUUUGUGCUGGGCGACCUCCCUGUAAGCAGGGCUCGGGUCUUUGCUGUAGUUGGCCUUUUGCCUUGCUGCUCCUAGGGCUGCCUGGGGAGCGUGGCCCCCUGUAACGGAGGGCGAGAGCCACCUCUCCGCACCUGAGUGGGAAAUGGAGCUCGCCGGACCCCGAGGCCACCCUGUAAGCAGGGUAGUGCCGCUUCCCUGCCCCUCUUUGUCCUCCGGCCCCUCGGCAUCGUUGCCUGGUGGUGGCCUGUCAAUGCGACGGCCCCGUACUCGGGGUGCGCGCCACGGCAUUUGGCCUUUGGCUUUACCCGAGGAGCCCCUUGGCACGUUGAGGUCUGUGGCCUCCGUGCAGCCUAGGGACAGGUCACAGGCUCUUGUCUGUUGCUUGUGGUUGUGGGUUUAUUCCCAGGUGUUGGCUGCGCUGGGUUGUCCUUCCCUUCUGGAAAGUCGCGCCUGCGUGUGUGCGUUCCCCUUCCUUUCCUUGUUUGCGUUUGUGGAGUGACUGAGCGACUGAGCGACUGAGCUUUCCCUUUAGGCCUCCCCAGAGACGGCUGCAGCUUAGCUUUGACUUCCCGGGGGGGAACGGAGGACUUUGGUGCAUGCCGCAAGAGGGGUGUUCCCUGCUAGUCCCGCGAGCGCAGCGAGUGUCCUGUCUUCCUCCUUUUUACUUAGUCCAGAUCAGAGCCACGCGGUAGUUGUGUGGCCGAGGCCGCCCUGUAGCCAGGGCUUGGGCCUGUCCUUGCGUGGCCGCCUGUUCUGCUGGCGGCGUGGCAGCCCUGUAGUCGGGGUGUGUGUCCCAAGCUUAGGAGCCCUCUGUCCCUUGAGCAGCCCGCCCGCCCGCCCUGUACUCAGGUGUGGGGAGGCUGCAGCGUUGCAGCCGGCUGCUUUAGCCAUCCAGCUGGUGGGAAUGACCCCUCCCUGUCCCGUCAGAGGGUGCAGGUUGAGGUGCUGCUUGCGUGUGGGGUGACCUCCCCGCUCGGUGGGUCGAGGCUGCUCCCUGGGUUCCCCAAGAGAAGACGUUGGUGAUGUUCUGCUGCUGCCGGGCGGGCCCGCCUGUAGCUCAGGCGUUGGCGGGAGCCUCGUGCUCCGCGGGGCUUCUUGGAGAGGGUGAGGUGCGGGGGUACGGUCCUGUAGGCAGGGCUGUGUGUGCCCCCCGUGUGUGCUUGCUGAGCUGUGUUCCGAGAGACCCCCCCCCCCCCCCCCCCGGACUCGGGUGGGAAUGUGGCCCCGGCCUUUCAGAGGCACGGGGCUGCGAGGUGUGGGCUUGGGCUUGCGCCCUCCCUGGAAGUUGAGGCUGGGAUCCCGACUGCGGCCUUUGGCCGUGCCGCCCCGCUGCCUGGCUGCUGAGAGUUGUUCCUGCCGCUGGGGGGGAAACCGAGCUCUGUGGCUCCAGGGGUGUCGUCCACCCGCCUGUAAUCAGGGUCUGGGUGCGCGAGCGUUUGUGCUCUGCUGGCAGCCUGUGUGGGGUGACCGCCCCGUUAGCGGGGUGUGGGUCGAGGUGCCCCGGACUGGGAGAGAAGGAGCCUCUCCCGGCCGUAGGGAUGGGGGCUGCCCUGUAAGUCAGGGAGCAACCGUGCCCCGGAGUCCCAGGCCCUUUGCGUUGGAGGCAGUGGCUGGGGGCCCCCUGUAAGCAGGGAAGCUGGCUCUUUGGCCGCUGCUUUUUGUACGCCCAGCCCCAUUUGCCCAGCCUGCCCGCCUCUGUGAUCCCCCGCAGCACCGGCUGGAAGUCCGCCGCGCGUCAGUGAGGAGCUGCUGCAGAAGAAAGAAGAAGCAGCAGCGUGGGGACCUGGGCUUCAAAUCAAGUUAGCAAUCUGUUUGUGUGUUUAUCUCAUUAUCAUUUUAUUUGGAGCCUCAGUUUGAAUGGUUUUUUAUGACUUUAUCAGCCUUUUUCGCAGCACAAUCAGCUGAGAAUAUAUUUUUUAUGUUGUUCUUCCUGUUA